rnacentral:rRNA from 1 species
AUUGAACGCUGGCGGCAGGCUUAACACAUGCAAGUCGAGCGGAGAUGAGGUGCUUGCACCUUAUCUUAGCGGCGGACGGGUGAGUAAUGCUUAGGAAUCUGCCUAUUAGUGGGGGACAACAUUCCGAAAGGAAUGCUAAUACCGCAUACGUCCUACGGGAGAAAGCAGGAGAUCUUCGGACCUUGCGCUAAUAGAUGAGCCUAAGUCGGAUUAGCUAGUUGGUGGGGUAAAGGCCUACCAAGGCGACGAUCUGUAGCGGGUCUGAGAGGAUGAUCCGCCACACUGGGACUGAGACACGGCCCAGACUCCUACGGGAGGCAGCAGUGGGGAAUAUUGGACAAUGGGGAGAACCCUGAUCCAGCCAUGCCGCGUGUGUGAAGAAGGCCUUAUGGUUGUAAAGCACUUUAAGCGAGGAGGAGGCUACUGAGACUAAUACUCUUGGAUAGUGGACGUUACUCGCAGAAUAAGCACCGGCUAACUCUGUGCCAGCAGCCGCAGUAACAC